GGGAAGGUGGCUCAGUGGUAGAGUGCUUGCCUUGCAUGCAUAAGGCCCUGGGUUUGAUUCCUCUAUACCA
rnacentral:tRNA from 1 species